AAGUUACAUGCUUCGACAGUUGGGAUACCACACUCGCUCGUGAUUAUUCUGUGGUGUAAUUCAAAUUUGCAAAUGCAGUCAUCCGUUAAAUCGAGCGCCCAAAUUAAAAUGAGUCACCAUAGCUUGAGGUAAGUCGAUGUUCACGGAGGAUAGCCCGGUAAAGUGAUUAAUGUACGUAACCAUCUAGAUAUACAGUUUAUGUAUCGGAGGCCAGCUGAGAGCUUGAGCAAAAGACGUUAGCGACAUCCUCAUCGUUAGAGCAGGACUGUCUCCCAAAUAGGACCGUUGGAGGGUGGGAGUGAGACCCGUUACAAAAUACUAGUGUGACAAUUUCUUGACCGUGACAUCCCUAACGUUAGUUGGAUUACAUUUCUGUAUAAGUACGGUUUUAAGUGUAAGUUACUCUGUUUAAUUUGCUUAGAGUUUGUUUGUAGAGUCACUUAUACUAAAAUGUAGUUUAAAUGUAAAAUGCUUAAAGAUAAUUGUAUAGUCACUAUUAACUAUUACUAUUGUCACAUGUAUAAUUGUUUGUUUUAGGACACACUUUGCCAUGCAGGCCACUGGAUGCUGACUACUGAAGGUUAGGUUGUGUGUGACGGUGCUCAGCACAGCUUCAUGUCUGGCCUUACCACUCUGUUCAUAGCAUGUUACAUAUUCAGGCUUGAGUACCAGGAUGGGGCAGCGUGUAUCUUGGAGUCCAAUGAAAGAUAUUAAUCCAGAGAGUGGAACAAGAAGAAGCGUCAUCUAAAAUGCCAGGAUACAGAAGAAACAGGUUGCAGUGAACCCACAUGUUGCCGCUCUUCUAAACACAAUGAUGAAUAUUCAGUGUAAUCGAUGAAAAUUCCAGCUACUUGUUGUGCUCUGAUGGAUCAAGAUGUGGACCGUUUUACAGACUCACUUGGGCCUUGUUUUGCAAUGUUGUUUCAUGAUGGUAAUGUUGGUUAACGUGUUGUUUAAACAUGAAUGUUUAAAGAGCCAUGUUGGAUACUAUGAAGUUGUUACUGAAUAAAAUGAUUUCAUGUACAACAACGUACACAAUUUGUCUGUAAUGUAUUUUUGUAUCAAUUAAAAAAAAAUAAACACUGUAUAUCCAGUAUGCAAAACAUACUGGAUAUACAGUGAUUUAUGUAUUUCUUCUAAAUAAAGUAAAUUAAAAUCAAGCAAUUUGCUGUA